rnacentral:rRNA from 1 species
UACGUAUGGUGCAAGCGUUAUCCGGAUUUACUGGGUGUAAAGGGAGCGCAGGCGGCGCGGCAAGUCCGAUGUGAAAACCCCCGGCUCAACCGGGGGACUGCAUUGGAAACUACCGGGCUGGGGUGCCGGAGAGGUAGGCGGAAUUCCUGGUGUAGCGGUGAAAUGCGUGGAUAUCAGGAGGAACACCUGUGGCGAAGGCGGCCUACUGGACGGUGACUGACGUUGAGGCUCGAAAGCGUGGGGAGCAAACAGG